CAAAAACACAACCGUUUGUCCUCCACCUUGUGUUUGUUUGUUUGUUGACCAUGUGCUUUCGAGUUCAACACAAUAUUUUAUCAGUCUUACCGCAACACUCGAAAGAUAAUGUUUCAUUUCCAAAAACUAGUAGAUAUAUGCUGCUUGUAGAUGUGGCGUUUAAUAAAUCAGCGUUGUUUUUUGUAAGAAUACACGACGUUAAAAUCUCAGACCUCUCCACCUGCAGCGACCACGAGCAACUAGUCACUGAAGCGUAGUUUUUCCUCCGCACCUCUAGGUGGCGUUACCGAAGUCACGUGCAGAGCUUCUGAAUGACAACAUUCUGUUGGGAAAACAGGAAAACAUGUCUAGACCGUUUUACACACAGAUGCUGCAGAUGACAGCUCACUUACAGUGGUUUAAAAACAAUAAACAACACGUUUUCCAGCUUAUCAACACACAAUAAGGACGCACAAUGUGAUAAAGAGUGUCUGGAGUGUCAAACGACUCACCUAAUGAGGCAUGUGUUUGGACCGUACAGUCAACAGGCGCAUCGUUUUGGGACGUUUGGACCACAUGUGGACCACCGAUGGACAUCAGCUGCGGACAGAGAGCUAAAGCUGGACAUGACACAAUCGUCUGAAAGAGAUGAAGACAUGCAGAAUCCACCGACAAGGAAAGAAAAUGAGACUGUGGUUCAUCUGGGCAUGUUUGGUUUCUUGGCUUCUUCUCGUACAGCCGUUUCCCUCUGCUAAACCAACAGAGACAAGCUGAGCAGAUAAUCAAAAUAAAAGGGGUCACCUACAUUUGCUCAUUCCCAUGGACUCCUAUUGCUCUACAAUCUGGUCGGAGUAGAAAUUCCUUCUGAAAUACCCGUUCUAAAGCCCUGCCUGAUGUCUCGCUGUGAAAACUCGUGAGGAAACAUUUGACCAUCUCCGUUAGGGAUAGAAUGUUUUAAAUAGAGCUGUGGGCAAAACUUUCAGUGUUGGGUGUAAUUAGUAAGGAGGUUUCUGCUAGGAGAGUGUACGUUUAAAUAAUAGUGUACGUAUAUAUAUUGUGUGUAUAUAUAUUUUGCAUAAUAACUAGAACAUUUUCUACUAAAACAUGUUAGAUUUAUCCAACAAUUGCACAUGCAUAUAAAGCAAUGAAAUAAGGAAUUUGUCAAUAUAUGGUAUUUAUAAAAAUAUGGUGUCUUAAAUGUGAAAUGUUUUUAAAGUGAUUUUAAGUGUUAUGAAAAAUAAAAGUGAAAGUUUCCAUUUGA